rnacentral:lncRNA from 1 species
UUGCUAGGAUUUCUAAGGACUUCUAUCUUGUUCAUGGUUGUACUCCCAGCCUUUAGCACAGUGCCCAGCUUCAUUCCAUCAGUGUUUUAUGAGUAUUUACCAUGUGUUAAGCCCUGUGCAAAUAAAUGGGCUCUCUGAACACAUCUCGGAUGCAUGGAUGAAUGGAGGUAUGUAUGGUGGCUGGAUAAAUAGUGGAUGGGAGAUGGACAGAUGGGUGGAUGGACUGAGGAUGGGUGGAUGGAUGGAUGAUGGGUGGAUGGAUGGAUGGUGUUGAGAUGCAUGGAUGGUACCUGGUGGACAACUAUCACCACUGCCCAACGGCUCAACCCAGAGUAGCCUGAGGCUCCCUCAUCCUCUUCUCAUCCCUUUCAUUCCAGACUGUCAUUUCACUUUUCUGAAAGCCUUCUCGUUUCAAUGGAGCCAUUAGAUGGUCCCUCUCGGUCCUCAGGCAACAGCUGAUAGUCUCCCUCCCUUGCCGCCCAACUGAAUCCUGAAUCAACACCAGUAAAGUGGGUGUGAACGGAAGGAGACUACAUGAUUUGCUAUGAUUUACCCCCGAGUGUGUGCAUUCCUCUCCUCCCUCCCUCCUCGCUCCUCUUCCUUGCCCGCUCCCUGGGAACUGGUUCAACCGGAGCACCGGCAGUGCUCGGCAUCUGCCCCCGGGGCCGGCAGGACGCAGCCGAGGAGGCGGGGCGCGCGCGGGCCGCGCCUUCGCGCCCGGGACGCCGGUGCCGGGCGGCCGGCGCGGCGGGCGCGCUCAUGAGGCCGCCGCCGGGCGGAAGGACGCGGAGCCGCGGCCUCUCGCUGGGAGUCCUCGCCCUCUGCGUGGCCGCCGCCCGCUGUCUGCAGAGCCAGGGCGUAUCGCUGUACAUUCCCCAGCCCGCCAUCAACGCCACGGUGGAAGAGGACAUCCUGCUCUCGGUUGACUACUCCUGCCAUGGGAUCCCCACCAUCGAAUGGAAGUACACGUCCAGCUGGGGAGUGCAGAAGAUCGUGGAGUGGAAGCCGGGGACUCAGGCCAACAUCUCCCAGAGCCACAAGGACAGGGUGUGCACCUUCGACAACGGCUCCAUCCAGCUCUUCAGCGUGGGCGUGCGGGACUCCGGCUCCUACAUCAUCACGGUGACCGAGCGCCUGGGGAGCAGCCAGUUUGGCACCAUCGUGUUGCACGUCUCAGGUGAGAUGCUCCCGGGGGCCCUGGUGCCUCUAGAAAAUCGGAGUGUGUGGGAGGCCAACCUGAUAUUAAGAGAUGUUAUCUGCCCCCCACCUAUAGAGAUCCUCUAUGAAGACCUCCACUUUGUCGCUGUCUUCCUUGCUUUUCUUGUUGCUGUGGCUGCACUGCUGAUCAGCCUAAUGUGGGUUUGUAAUAAGUGUGCCUAUAAAUUCCAAAGGAAGAGAAGACACAAACUCAAAGAAAGCACAACAGAGGAGAUUGAGCUGCAGGAAGUAGAGUGUUAG